AGAGCGAACGCUGGCGGCAGGCCUAACACAUGCAAGUCGAGCGCCCCGCAAGGGGAGCGGCAGACGGGAGAGUAACACGUGGGAACGUACCCUUUGGUUCGGAACAACACAGGGAAACUUGUGCUAAUACCGGAUAAGCCCUUACGGGGAAAGAUUUAUCGCCAAAGGAUCGGCCCGCGUCUGAUUAGCUUGUUGGUGAGGUAACGGCUCACCAAGGCUACGAUCAGUAGCUGGUCUGAGAGGAUGAUCAGCCUCACUGGGACUGAGACACGGUCCAGACUCCUACGGGAGGCAGCAGUGGGGAAUUUGCGCAAUGGGGAAACCCUGACGCAGCAACGCCGCGUGGAGGAUGAAGACCCUUGGGUCGUAAACUCCUUUCGAUCGGGACGAUUAUGACGGUACCGGAAGAAGAAGCCCGGCUAACUUCGUGCCAGCAGCCGC
rnacentral:rRNA from 1 species